CAGUAGCCGCGGUAAUACGAAGGGUGCAAGCGUUAAUCGGAAUUACUGGGCGUAAAGCGUGCGUAGGCGGUUUGUUAAGUCUGCUGUGAAAUCCCCGGGCUCAACCUGGGAAUGGCAGUGGAUACUGGCAAGCUAGAGUGUGUCAGAGGACGGUAGAAUUCCCGGUGUAGCGGUGAAAUGCGUAGAGAUCGGGAGGAACAUCAGUGGCGAAGGCGGCCAUCUGGGACAACACUGACGCUGAGGCACGAAAGCGUGGGGAGCAAACAGGAUUAGAUACCCCCGUAGUCCCUGUCUCUUAUAC
rnacentral:rRNA from 1 species